GUCCACGGCCAAGCCACCCUUGAACGUGCCCCGUCUCGUCUGGUCUCAGAAGCUAAGCAGGGUCGGGCCUGGUUAGUGCUUGGAUGGGAGACCACCUCGGAAGACCAGGUGCUAUAGGCA
rnacentral:rRNA from 1 species